rnacentral:rRNA from 1 species
AUUGAACGCUGGCGGCGUGCCUAACACAUGCAAGUCGAGCGGUAACAGGUGUAGCAAUACAUGCUGACGAGCGGCGGACGGGUGAGUAACGCUUGGGAAUCUGCCUGUUAGUGGGGGACAACCCGGGGAAACUCGGGCUAAUACCGCAUACGCACUACGGUGGAAAGCCGGGGACCGCAAGGCCUGGCGCUAACAGAUGAGCCCAAGUCGGAUUAGCUAGUUGGUAGGGUAACGGCCACCAAGGCGACGAUCCGUAACUGGUCUGAGAGGACGACCAGUCACACCGGAACUGAGACACGGUCCGGACUCCUACGGGAGGCAGCAGUGGGGAAUAUUGGACAAUGGGCGAAAGCCUGAUCCAGCGACGCCGCGUGGGUGAAGAAGGCCUGCGGGUUGUAAAGCCCUUUCAGUGGGAAGAAAGCCUCGAGUUAAUACCUCGGGUCUUGACGUAACCCAUAGAAGAAGCACCGGCUAACUCUGUGCCAGCAG